ensembl:lncRNA
AUGAAAGUGAAUAUUUAGCAACAUUUUACUGCUCAAAGAAUUUUAUCCCUGUAUAAAUGUCCUGUAUAAAUGGACUGUAGCUUAAUUUUGUCAUGUGACAUCUCUUCUGUUUUCAGGUUCAGUUGGUUCUGGAAUCUUUUGCUGUUGUUUUGCUGUGUUAUUUAUAGCGAAACCACCUCUAUACUUGUACCAGGAGAAAAAGGAGGCAACGCCACACUGCCUUGUGAAUUAAAGGAUAGAGACAUUUUUAAUGUUAUUUUAAACCGUCAAUCAAAAAACAUCCCUGUUUGUAAGACUGAAAACUGUAGUGGGCGAGCAUUUAAAAUAGGAGCCUGUGACAUUGUCAUCAAGGAUCUGAUCUUCAGUGAUGCUGGGAAGUACAUUAUGAGAGUCUUUUAUGGCAAAGAUCAGACAGAGCUGGAGCAACGAAGGGAGUACAAUCUUCAUAUUCAUGAUGAGACUUUAGUGAAAAUCGGUGAGGAGCUGAAGUUGGAUGUUCUGUUGUCUAAUGCUGAUAAAGUGGAGACAAACUCCAGUGGAGAGUGGAGGGAGGUGUGGAGCAGAACUGAUGGGGUCCUGGAUCAUCAUCUGAAUGACAGUGAUGGAUACCUGACCAUUAAAGGUUUUACAGCCAGUGACACUGGAACAUACAGAGUUCUGGACUCUAAAGGAGAAACCUUGAUCACAGUCACAGUCAGAGAAUAUAGUACAGAAUAUAAGAAAAAGCGGGAUGGUGACAAUGAUACAAAUUAUAGUAAGUAAACAGGAGGCAUUAAGAGCUUUAUAAAAUCUUUAAACAGUUUAAAAAAAAAAAAAAAAACAUUUUAAAAAUUGUUUUCUCUUCUCCCUCGCCCCUUCCAGCUGUACUGUAUGUCGUGCUGUCUGUGGUGUUGGGGGUCCCGGUUCUGGUUCUGAUUACAUUUGUUUUCGUCAAGAAACUGCACAGGAACCCAGAACAUGAUCCCGACCAGAGGGUCCCACUGCAGGACAGGAUCCCAGAACAUGAUCCCCACCAGAGGGCCCCACUGCAGGACAGGAACCCAGAACAUGAUCCCGACCAGAGGGUCCCGUAGCAAUAAAUUAUCCUGGAAGCCCA